rnacentral:lncRNA from 1 species
CACAAAAAAUCCAAAUUUUAUAUUAGAGUUAUUUUUACAACAGCAACAACAACAACCCAAUAUAAUCCCACUUAGUGGGGUCUGGGGAGGAUAGUAUAUACGCAGACCUUACCCCUACCCUAGGGUAGAGAGAUUAGAGUUAUUUUUCUAAUCUCGAUAAUACUGAUAACAAAGUAUAAAAAAAGAUACAAAUAUCCCAAAUAUAUUAACAUUAGUGCUAGGAAUCUAUCCAUAUCAUCUACUAGAACCUACUGGCUACGGUCUAUGCAAUUGCAACCUAUCACGUGCUGAUCUCUCUCUCUCCGUCGAAAUUCCGUCCAAAAACUGUACUCACUUAUUACUACCGAUAUCUACUAGUGAGGGUACGCCGGGCUAUGCCCGGGCCCAACGACUAUUUAGAGCUAUAUAGGUACUUAAAUCUAUGCUGGGGCAUAAAAAAACAUGUUAUGGAAUAUGUUUUUGUAUACUUGAAGGUUUUGUUAGGAUGCUUUAUAAAGCAAAGUACUACAGGCUAAAGGGAGAUUGUAUUUAACAGUUAUAACUACAUACAAAAAUGUGAUUUUAACAGUAUUUAGCAACAUGCUCAUUGUCUUCACCUAUCCAUCCAGCACUCUUUUUUCCUUCUUGAAUUUCUCCUCCAACUUCAUGAGCAUACGCUUCUUGCAGUGCACCAAAAAUGAUUUCUCUGCAGAAGGAGAAAGAGAGAAAAAGCAUGGUUAGGAGAUCGAGCAUAUUGCUACCCCCUGAUGAGAUUACCAUAACCCACUUAAAAUACUUAAAUUUUAAUUUACUUUUGUUUCGUAUUAUCCAACUGUUGCAGGCACUGAAGUGGCCUCUAGUAGUUUGUCAGUCAGCUGAGCGUCUUCUACUCUGCUAUGAAGAUGAAUUAAGCGUGUUAAUGAUUCACAUAAGAGUGUAUAAUCUGCUCAAAUAAACUCAAUGAUAUCCAACACCCACAAAAACUACAUGCAACUUAGAGAGCCGUGGAUAAACUUGUGAGAUGUAUCUGUAAGAUUAUCUUAGAAACACAAAAAUAAUAUAUUAAUGCUCUUUUGAACUCACAUCCUCAUUUAUAUAUACGACUACCAUAUGGUAGACUAUGACUGCAUUAAUAGCAGGAAAUAUAAGUCAUUUUUCGAGGCCAAUAAACCAAAAGAGGGAGUUAGCCAUAUAUAAUAUAGACCAUCCAUUUCUUGUCUUUGAACUCUGCGUAAGAGCUCCACUUGUAGGAUUCCACCAAUGGAAAGAACAGGUUUUGCCAGCCUAAACUUCUGCAAGCUGUUCUCCUGUACCCAUGAGAAGCUAGCUUAGCUGUUCCAAAGUCUGAGACACAUAAAAGAAGAAAUCUUAACUAAAACUGAGCUACAGUUUGAAGUAGAUUUUAAAUUGCUUGCUUUUGUCAACAAAAGAGAAGAUUAGUUCAUGAAUGAGCACCUAACAGCUGUGUUAAAAUGAGUGAUAUACUUCCACCAAGUACAUGUUCUGACAUAAGUAAGACCAAGAAUAGGCUUAGUUAGUGGAAACCAUUAUUAUUACUUGGGAAGUAGACGUUGUUACUUAUUAUCCAAGAAAAGAUGUCAGUGUAAAGUAUCCAUUUGAUUGCUUCACGGAUGAGAACUAUCCAGAACAAAAGAAACUGAAAUAUUGUUUGGAUAGCAAGAUGUAACAACCAAUUAAUGUGUAGUAGGUACAUAGAAGAAGAAAAAAACUGAUGAGACAAUCUCAAGAACAAAAAAGUAACGCUUAAAUACACAAAAAGAACAUAGACUUAAAGGAUAGAAAUACAAAAGAGAGCAAACUGAUUUAAUAUACAACUCUCUUUGUUAAUUCAUUAGUCUACAAGCAUAUUCUGAGAACAAAGAGGAUAACAAGACAAAUAACGAAUAUAAUUGAGAGGAGAAACAAAGUCAAGUGAAAAGUAAAAGCAAAGCAGCAGAAACCAAUUAAUUCUUAAGUUUACUUGUUCAUUUUCAUAUGAUUUUAUCAAUGCGGUUUGACUUAAGAUACUAACAAUAUUUGUAAUUGAAAGUAUGUACUAAUAUUUAGGGGAAAAGAAAGUUGAGAAGUAGAUACGAUGUUCUGUAUGAACAUAAAGGGGUCGCAGUUCACUACAUCGACCACUUCAGACCAUCCAUAUACCGGCUUCUUGUUUACUCUUUUCCUUCAUUCUCACAAUUAUAGUAACAAAGGUCUCAACAGGUGCAUUGCACUUUUGCUCCGUUUUCCUUUAUUGUGUUUCCUUUAUUGUAUACUUUUAAAUUGUCACAACUAUAACAUCAUGUCUUCUGAAAUUCCUUUCUUUAAAUUUUUUUCAGGAACAAGUUGAAGAAAAAAUAAGAAGAUUCAAGAGAGGGCAAAACUUUGGAUGAUUUAAGGAAAGUGAGACUUAUCAAGGAUUUGUACCAAUUAAACUUGUGGGCAAACUUGAAGAAGCAAAACAAAUUACAGAGAGAUGAAAAUAGAAUGCCAUCAAAAUUACCCAAAAUCAAAAUUACCAGAUUAUUCUUCACCCAAGCGAACCAAGAAAUUAAAUCUGAAGACAGUAAUAAAAAUCAAGUAGUAAAUUUGAUUCAUUGUAAAAUUUUGCCCUUAUUCUCGAGGAAAUACACAGAAGUUGAAGUGAAGGAAAAGAAAAUCCAGCAAAACAUAACUAACCUGAUAAAAGUUUCAGAGCCGCAAGAGGAAAGACCAGAAGAGACAAAGAUAACUUGAAGAGGAACUGAGAAAGGUAUGAAAAUCCGAAGAAACAGCAGUAUGAACCGAAAUCGAAGGUAACACGUGUGUAGAAAGCUAAAAUAUUUGAAAUUCCCAAACUACCCCUACGACCCCAAGCUCCUCUCGCUAGCUGUUUCUAUAAUAGUACUAGUGAGGGUAUGCCCGGGCUAUGCCCGGGCCGAACGACUAUUUAGUAUUUUUGUUAAUAAAGCUAUAUAGGUACUUAAAUCUAUCAUGGACCAUCGAAAAGAAACAUGUUAUGGAAAAGGUUUUUGUAUACCUAAAGGUUUUGUAAGUACUAUAGGCUAAAGAGAGAUUGUAUUUAACUGUCAUAACUACAUACAUAAAUGUGAUUCUAACAGUAUUUAGCAACAUGCGCACUGUCUUCACCUAUCCAUCCAGCUUUUCAUGUUGGUACUGUUGCACGCACUAAAAUGGCCUCUAGUAAUUUGUCAGUCAGCUGAGCGUCUUCUACUCUGCUAUGAAGAUGAAUUAAGCGUGUUAAUGAUUCACAUAAGAGUGUACAAUCUGCUCAAAUAAACUCAGGGAUAUCUAACACCCACAAAAACUAUGUGCAAUAAUUAUU